CAGAGGAGAUUGAGGGUUUUGGUUAACUGCAGAUGAGAGAUUAGGAGAACAGAUGAACCCUGGCUGCAGAGUGAAGAUAACUGGCUGUAAGCAGAUGGAUGUAGAGGGCGGCUGGUAGAGGCUGACUGUGAGAGAGAAACAGAGCAGAGCAGGACAAGCUUUCUCUUCCUGUUAGAAAACGUCAACACUUGAUUAACUGACAAGCAGUGUCAUGAGAAUUGACUUUAAAUAGACAAAAGCAAUCAUGAGCUGUGGGGUAACCUUGACAAUGGAGGAGAGGUGAUGAUCAAGCCUGGGUAGAGAUUAAUGCCUUGCCUUUACUUAGUGUGUGCACAGAGGUGAAUCAACACCUAAUCCAUUCAUUAUCUCUGUGAAAGCCAUUAUGCCAGGGGAACUCCUCCUCUUUGUGACAUUUUGGUCUGAUCUUUUCCAAGCUUUCUGCCAAAGUUGCUAACAUUAGAUUUGAGUAAAUCUAACUAAUUUGCGGGCUGGAACCCAAGCCUGGAACAUCACAUGAAUAGGAGGUAGUUUUCACAAAAAAUGAUGUCCGGGUCACCAUUAAUGUAAAACUUGAUUUCUUACCUGUCCAAAGAAAAAAUUACCUUUGUCAGGAACUCUGACGAUAAUUUCACAAGGACUGAGUUAAUCUUUAAGCUGAAGUAACUGUCCUAAACAAACUUGUAAACAUUGCUUUCUAAAUCAUUGUCAUGUUUUUAGUUUAAUAUUUUUUCUGUCUUUUCUGAUCAAAAGAAACUGCUCUUAAAAUUUUACAAACGAGGAGAAUUUAGAUGAGAAAAACAUUUUCCAUCUUUUUCUGACAGUGGUUUCAUUGAAUGCAUUGAAUGGGAGCAUUGAAUGCAGCCAAAUAUCAUAGUGUGCAUCUUGACAGCUUUUGCACCGGGAAUAUCCUGAUUAUUGCUGAAACAAAAGCAAAGUCUGGGGUCAGAGUCAUGACCUGACUUGUAUGGUGCCUUGGGAGCCCCAGAGGAUCAUGGGUCUUGUGACCUCUAGAUGCUCUGGCAAUCAUAACUCCCCACAGGGUUUAUGUUUUUUCCUUGAAAGAACAUAUCUGUCACUUUUGCUAGUCAGCACAGUCUAGAGAACUGGUCUGUGAGGACAGCUUUUUUUGGGAGCCUUACAGGAUUUCAGUUUUUUGCUUCAUCACAGAAAUACAGUAUUUGUUGCUUGUGUUAUACGGUGUACCUACUUAAAGAAGGCAUGCAUGUUCAAUUCAAGUGGAAGUGAAUACUGAGUUUAAAUGAACUGAAAAGAAAAAAAAAUCAUCCUCACAACACUGAAUCUAAUACUCCAGUGCCUUAUUCUCUGAAACACAUAACUGGGGUUUAUAACUUAUACACUGCAGGAAAUAGACCGCCCCCUCACUGUUUUUCAGCAACAGUAAACAUGACCUUCAACUGCUUAUAGGAUCUCAACUCUAAUUUAAAGACAAUGGUGCAUCUGGUAAUCCAGCAGGUACUGCUGUUAAAUCUCAAGGUAAAUUUACUCUGUGUCAAUUGCACGGAAUGAUAUUGAGUUUUUGUUUAGCUAGUGUACUAUCUAGCUAGGACAAAGUGAAUCAUGGGCUGUGAGGACUUGAGAUACCUCUUAGAAUAGAAUAGAAUGCUCUUUAUUGUCAUUAUACAAACAUUGUACAACGAGAUUGGAGAGGGUCUCCCAUUCAGUGCAAGUAAAAGUAAAGGUUUAAAAUAUAAAAUAUAAAUAUAUAUACAAAUAACAUGCAAUAGAGUGUCGACACAUUGUUAAAUAGAUUACACGGGUGUAAUGGAUUCCACACAGUGGACAGUUGCAGCGAUGGUAAAAAACAUAUUGCACAAUAAGUAUGGCUAUAUAUGCAUAUAUGUAAAGAUAAAUACAGUAGUGUUGGCAUGUUAAUACUGGAUAUUAAAUAGAUCGAACAGAGUGUGAUGGAUUCCACACAGUGGAGCAGUGGUAAAAAACUUAUUGCACAGUAGGUAUGGCUAUAUAUAUACGUAUAUGUAAAUACAACAGUGUUACAUGCCGGAGUUCAGGGUGGUGAUGGCUAUGGGGAAAAAGCAAUUUCUUAGUCUAUUUGUUCUUGCUCUGAGACAUCUGUAGCGCCAGCCAGAAGGCAACAGCUCAAACAGCUGAGAACCAGGAUGUGAAGUGUCUGCAGUGAUGUUACGGGCUCUGCUGAGACACUGGGAGGUGUAGAUGUCCAUCAUGGACGGGAGAGGACAGCCAACAAUCUUCUGUGCUACUCUGACUGUUCUCUUAAGCCUCGUUCUGUCAGCCUCAGUGCAGCUCUCGUACCAGGUGGAGAUGCAGUAGGUCAGCAGGCUCUCGAUGGCUGAGCGGUUGAAGGCCAGCAGCAGCUUACUGUCCAAGUUGUUCCUCCUAAGGACUCUCAGGUGGUGUAGACGCUGCUGAGCCUUCUUGAUGACAGCCGUGAUGUUGUUUGUCCAGGAGAGGUCAUCUGGGAUCUGGACUCCCAGGAACCUAAAUGUGUGGACUCUCUCCACAUACUUGCCGUUGAUGGAGAGGGGGGGCGGCUCAGUUCUGUUCCUCCUGAAAUCCAUGAUGAUCUCCUUUGUUUUGGCAGUGUUCAGUGUCAGGUUGUUGUCUGAGCACCAGGUCGAGAGUCUCUGCACCUCCUCUCUGUAAGCUGACUCGUCUCCUCUUGAAAUCAGUCCGACCAUGGUGGUGUCAUCUGCGAAUUUGAUGAUGAGGUUUUUUUUUUGUGGCUUGGGCUGCAGUCGGAGGUGUAGAGGCAGUACAGGAGGGGGCUCAGCACGCAGCCCUGGGGUGACCCAGUGCUCAGUGUGUGGGUGGGGGAGAGGUGGGGGCCAAGUCUCACCAUCUGGGGUCUGUUGGUCAGAAAGUCCUUAAUCCAGGAGCAGGUGGGAGGGGGAAGGCCCAGGGUGACCAGUUUGGUGAUGAGGAUGUCCGGAAUGAUGGUGUUGAAUGCCGAACUAUAAUCCACAAAGAGCAUCCUGGCAUAGCUCUGCUGUUGUUCCAGGUGUUUCAGCACAGCGUGCAGAGCUAUGGCAAUGGCGUCCUCUGUCGAUCUGUUAGCCCGGUAAGCAAACUGGUGGGGGUCUAGUGUCGGGGGAGACAGUCCUUGAUGUGCUUGAGAACCAGCCUCUCAAAGCACUUCAUGAUUAUAGGUGUGAGGGCAACAGGGCGGUAGUCAUUUGGGCUGGUUGUAGGUGACUUCUUUGGCACUGGGAUUAUUGUGGCAGACUUCAGGCUGGUGGGGAUGACUGCUUGGGCCAGGGAGAGGUUGAAAAUCUCGCAGAAAACACGUGACAGCUGGUGUGCACAUGCUCUGAGCACCUUGCCUGGCACUUUGUCUGGGCCAGCAGCCUUCUUGGGGUUAACUGCCAGGAGGACGCGCCUCACAUCAUGCUCCUCGAUGGUGAACGCUGGGGUGGUGGAUCCUGACGAGGGUGACGGCUGGGCUGGAGCAGAGGAGUGGCGCUGCGUUGAGUCAAAGCGGGCAAAGAAACAGUUGAGUUCCUCUGCUAGUGCCUCACACAGGUCUCCUGGUGAAGCAUCACAGCCUCUGUAGUUGGUGAUGCUUUGAAGACCCUGCCACAUCUCCCGUGGUCUGUUGCUGGUGAGGUGGGACUCUAUCUUCUUGUUGUAGUCCUCUUUGGCAUUUUUAACACCUCUCCUCAGGUCAGCUCGAGCCGCGCUGUAGAGAGCCCUGUCACCUGACCUGAAGGCAGCGUCACGGGACUUGAGGAGGGAAUGGACCUGGCCGGUCAUCCAUGGUUUACUGUUGGGAUAAAUCCGGAUG